rnacentral:tRNA from 1 species
GCGCCAAUGAUCUAGUGGCAGGAUAUCAGCUUCCCAAGCUGAGUGCGCGGGUUCAAUUCCCGCUUGGCGCA